ensembl:lncRNA
GCAUUUCCCUAUGUGGAAUGGAGGAUUUAUAGCACAUACAUAGAAUAAAAUCUUACACGAGUGUCAGGAAAGCUGUGACAUUACCCUUGAGAAGAAAAUAACAACCCCUACGAACAGAGUCCAGCAGAAGAACUUCUCAGAAGUUGUCUAAGGGCCCAUUGGUGGAGGAAAGAAGCCUGAAACAAUUGAGGUCAGAACAAGAAGAAUCUAGUUUAAUUCCUUGGCUUCAGGAAGGAAGGAUAGCAACUGCUGAAAUUCUUUAUCUGCAUAUAAGGUUGCACAGUUGCUGAGCCCAUGGAGAAGGAGAAAGGGGCAUAUCUCCAAGUAACUUUGGUCAAAUCUGACAAUGGAUAAAUUUGUACGCAGAAUGACAUGUAAUGUGAAGUUUUUCCCCAGUAUUUGAUCAGAAACCAAAUGAUCUAGCUGUUGCACACAAACAGCAUCCUUCAAAUUCCUUCAAAAGCUC